CGGUGGAUUGCAAGUCGAUUUCCAUUCAAUUGGCUACCGACAGGGAUGUCAAUUCGAGUGAUGGCUGAGUCAGUAGGAAUCCAUUAGCUAACGACUAAUGGACUCCACAUCGACUAAUGGCUCUGCCAUGGGAGAUGAACGAUGGCACAUUGGCCGCCAGCUUUGGGUAGCUGCGUUCCUUCUACGUCUGUCUAACUGAGGCUACCGCUCUCGGUGGCCUCCACCGACUGUUGGUGGGCACGAGAUCACGUGCCGGAACGACAGUUGGUGUGGCCCUGUCGGUGCCAUUGAACUACGCGGUCGCCUCGGGCGCCGUGUGCAGGUGCCGUCGGAGUCACGCCUCCGCGGAAGAAUAUUCCGUCGUCGUCUUCUUCUCUGUAUGCGAAGCAUCGCGAGAGAACGAACGGGACGACGAGGGGUCAAAAGUGUUCUACUCGUGCGGGGAUCAUGUUAGCUUACCGUUCGGCAUGAGCCAGGGGUCGAUGAUGAGCUCGCCGUGGAUCCGCAAGCCGACGAUCAUCUCCGAGAAGCAAUGGACCCGGGUGUCCCUGCUGAAGUCCACCAGCUCGUAGUUGGUCAGCCGCUGCAGCACCGGGCCGUAGCGGGCCAACCACCAGGGGCGGUACUCCGCCACCACGAGCACCACCUCCCCCUUGAACCGCUCCGCCGUCACGUAGAGCGGGACCAGCCCGUCGCUGAACUCGUGGUACAGGUUCCCGGUGUAGCCGCCGUUGGAGAGGAGCAGCCCCGGCACGCCCUCGUGCCGCACGUCGCAGGCCCGGGUUUGGCUGCCGUUGAUGGCGGCGGACGGCAUGGGCCGGAUGGAGAUCUCCUGGAUCGUGCGGGUGAUCUCUGUGUCCCACUUCCUCGUGUAGGGCCGAAUCUUCUCCUCCGUCGCCGGCGCCGCCGACUUCCCGUCUGCUGCUCCGUACACCAGGAUGGACGAUGACCGAGAGUCGGUACGGACGUCCCCCCUCGCGUAGCAAAGGUCGCUCCGGACGUGGCUCCGGUCGCAGCACACCAGCGCCUCGUCUCUGUUCGCGGCCGCCGCUCCCUCCGUUCGACCUGCCACAGUGGGUUCAGGAAUCGAUAGAGGAACGACUUAACCCUGCGUGGGUGUCGAUCAUUACCGUCGAUGCGAGCGGAACACGGGAGCGGCGGAUCGCCCGGGUUCUCCUCAUGGACCUGCAGGUGGUUGGUCUCCGAUGCGAUAUGGGUCCUCAAGGAUUCCACGUCUUGCCGUGGUUCUGCAGAAACUGAACACCCGAAAAUUGGGGUUAGAAUUGGAGAAGAAGAAGAAGAAGAAGAAGAAGAAGCAGUAGUAGUAGUAAUUCUUACAUGAAGAAGCAGCAGAUGGCUGCACAAAGGAGGAAGGGAACGGGGAGGACAGAGCCAGCCGAAGAACGGAGCCGACGGCAUACAGCGUCAGGAGGAGCAACGGGAAGGCACGGUGAAGGAAGCCGCUCUUCCUUUCCUUCUCGACGACCACCAGGUGCGAUACUUGUGCCGGCGUCGGGAGCGCCGAUGCGUUCCUCUGCUGACGAUUCAUCCUGCGCCUCUCACCGAUCAGGCGGCGGCGACGGCUGCCUAUCGAUCAUCUCGCAGUCUCCACAUCAAGAAGCUUCCAAGGAAGAAGAAGAAAAAGA